AAGAGGGGAACCUAACCUACAGAGAGAAAUGACCAAAACCAAUUUUAUAGGGCUUUAUCUCGUGUUUAUUGCCAAUAAACCUAUGACUAAAUUACACAAUUAAAGCAGACAACCUCUCAAGUUACUAAGCUAAUAUGAAAAUAAGUAAAGUUAGGAUCGGCAUGUACAUAUGAACAAAGCAAUACUAAUUGCGUACACUAAUAAAUCUUAUGGCAGAGCUUGAAGCAAAAAUGAGGAUCGGUAUAUGCAUUGGAGCCGGAUCCAAUAGUAAACUAUACAAUUGUAUUUACUUGAUAAACUUUAUUACAAAAGCGUGAGUAAUUCAAUUAGAACACAAAACAAGGAUCGGUUUAUGCAUAUGAUCUAAACUUAAUUGAAAACUAAACAAUUGCGUCUAAUUAAUAAAGUUCAUAACAAAAGCAUGUGCAAAGCAUAAAAGUAGGAUCGGCGUAUGCAUUAGGGCCAUAUUUAGUACAAUAGCAUUCACUUAAUAAAUUUAUAGCAAGAAGCGUGAAUAAUUAUCUAAGUCAUAAAACCAGGAUUGGAUUAUGCAUUUGAGCUAAGCAUGAAUGUAAACAAUGAGCAAAUUCUAAUUAGCGUAAUUAACUUAGCUACUACAAGACAACAGUUACUAUUUCUAUUAACUAUCUAGUAGGCACGGUAAGCGUGCAUGGGACGAUACAACGCGAUGUCCAGUCAGUUCCGUGUUACGGAAGCAGACCUUACCAUCGCGGUGUGUGCGAGUUCAAUCCGGCGGGCGCAUCGUGUUCCGUGGUACGGAAGCGCGGAGCGUCGCGGACGAACUGACUUCUAGGCCGGCUCGCACGCCUUUUAUAGCCAGCCGGUGAGCGCGUGUGACGCACGCGGCGGCGUGCGGGGUCUCGGGGCAGGGUAAACCGGCUGCGCGCGCGCGUAGAUCUCGCUGUGACGUAGUGGCCGGCUCGGCGCUGGUCGCUCGAAGUAAAUAAAAGGGCGCGCCGUGUUACAGACUCCCCCUCUGGCUCCGAAGUCGUCCCGACGAGGAAGCCAGGACUGGUGUGGAUGACGGCGUGCCAUCACACGAUGUGGCUUGGGAAGUCAUCUUCGGCUGACCAUGCUCACGUAUGGCGCAGCGGAGGUGGCUUGAGGCACCACCUUUUCUGGUUGACCACGCUCACGCAUGGCACUGCGGAGGUGGCUUGUGAGGUCAUCUUCUUCGUAUGACCACGCUCACGCAUGGCAAGGCGGAGGUGGCUCGGGAGGUCAUCUUCUUCAGCCGACCACGCUCACGCAUGGCACGGCCUCUGGUUGACCACGCUCACGCAUGGUACUGUGGAGGUAGCUCGGGAGGCACCACCAUAGGCUGGCUGACCACGCUCGCGGAGAGGCGCGGCUGAACUGGGCACAGGCGCCGUCUCAGCGCUCUGGAGCAGACGGGGCGCUGAUGAGUGGUACAGGCCCAGAGACUGGUCAGGAACAUUGGUGUCUGCAAUUUCAAAGAGCUAGUCCAUGACUUCGAAACAUCAUAAUAUAGGGCCUUGGUGCUGAGCCCCUGAGUACAGUUGCUACGAAAACCCUCGGGCGUUCUCAAAUUUCUCCCGCAAGGAAUAAUUUCCUCCCUCCCCCUGUAUUCAAACAGGGCUGAUGUGACCGAAGAGCUUCUUCCCUCCCCCUGUAUCCAAACAGGGCUGAUGACAUGGCUACAUGUAUCAGAAUUUGAGUUUUUCUCUGGUGUUAACCUUCAUCCCUAACACUGGUACCAUUGUAAGUCCGCUUGCAACUUCCGAACUCAUCAUGGAAGGUUGAGGUGACUUUGGAAAUCCAGGUGUGGUUACCAUAGGGGAAACAUUUCGCAGAAGGGUAAAUUCCUCCUUCAGCUUUACAAAUAUGUCUUGGAUGGACUCCUCCUCUAACUCGUAGACAAUAGAAGGAUCUUCCAAAAAGCAGCAGGUUCGUUGGUAUUCUCAACGUCGUAUCUUUGGCGGCCUGUGGUAGUACCUACCACGAAUGACGAAUCUGCCAAAGUAGGUACUCGUGUUGCGAGUCUAGACUAUCUUAAUUAGCCUAACCCUAUCUCGACUAAUACCUAACUCGCGAGACUAAGAGAGAAGGUUGUCUGUGCGGUUUUGGUCUCAAGUGUUAAGUUUAGGUUCGUGCCUCGAUGGGACCCAGUUUAUUAGAGGGCCCCACACGUUGGGACGCCCAAUUUAUAAGAGGGCCUCACGUUGGGCGCCAGUUUGUAGAGGGCGCCGCGUUGGGUCGCCCUAUUUGUAGGAGGAGGGGAACCUAACCUACAGAGAGAAAUGACCAAAACCAAUUCUAUAGGGCUUUAUCUCGUGUUUAUUGCCAACAAACCUAUGACUAAAUUACACAAUUAAAGCAGACAACCUCUCUAUUACGGAGCUAGUAGUCGGUACAAACAAAAUAUCAUCACAGUAAA